GUGCAUCAGAAACCAGCACACCAGAGCACCAGGGCGGGGGGCUUCUCCGCAGCAAGGGACAAGAGCUUGGCUUAUUUAGGCUACAGCCCUGCUGCUGCUCCCUUCCUUCUUCUGUCCUGUUUCCAGCCUUGCAAGAAGGCUAUUCACAAUUAGGCCUGGCUGCUUCUCUCAUUUUUUUCCUCCCAGUUUCCAAACAAGCCCUCAGUGAACAUCAUUGAAGCGUGACUGCCUGUCUGCAGGGAGAAGGAUUCCAUUUUUCUUCUCAGCUGGUCCCCAGGCCCACGGGCACAGGGAGAGGGACAACUGCAGCAGUGGGGAGGAGGCACAGCUAGCUGCACAGUUCUCUCUUCUCCUUGUCCUAGUCAGAUGAAGGAGGCUGCACUACAAACCCAAAUUCUGCAAAAAAA
rnacentral:lncRNA from 1 species